UGUAAAAUGGUGUAAGGAGCACAUAAGCCUUUGAAGCAUAUAGAUUAGGUUCGAUCCCUAAUUUUACAA
rnacentral:tRNA from 1 species